GACGAACGNUGGCGGCGUGCUUAACACAUGCAAGUCGAACGAUGAAGCCGAGCUUGCUCGGUGGAUUAGUGGCGAACGGGUGAGUAACACGUGAGCAACCUGCCCCUAACUCUGGGAUAACGCCUCGAAAGGGGUGCUAAUACCGGAUAUGAGCCUGGAAGACAUCUUCUGGGUUGGAAAGUUUUUCGGUUAGGGAUGGGCUCGCGGCCUAUCAGCUAGUUGGUGAGGUAAAGGCUCACCAAGGCGACGACGGGUAUCCGGCCUGAGAGGGCGACCGGACACACUGGGACUGAGACACGGCCCAGACUCCUACGGGAGGCAGCAGUGGGGAAUAUUGCGCAAUGGGCGAAAGCCUGACGCAGCGACGCCGCGUGAGGGAUGAAGGUCUUCGGAUUGUAAACCUCUUUCAGCAGGGACGAAGCGAAAGUGACGGUACCUGAAGAAGAAGCACCGGCUAACUACGUGCCAGCAGCAGCCGCCGUAAAAC
rnacentral:rRNA from 1 species